rnacentral:rRNA from 1 species
CCUACGGGAGGCAGCAGUGAGGAAUAUUGGUCAAUGGGCGCAAGCCUGAACCAGCCAUGCCGCGUGCAGGAAGAAGGUCCUAUGGAUUGUAAACUGCUUUUAUUUGGGAAUAAACCUCUGGUCGUGCACCGGAGCUGAAGGUACCAAAUGAAUAAGCACCGGCUAACUCCGUGCCAGCAGC